AUACGAAGGGCCCGAGCGUUAAUCGGAAUCAUUGGGCUUAAAGGGUGCGUAGGCGGGCCCGCAAGUGUCUUGUGAAAUACCACGGCUCAACCGUGGAAUGGCUUGGCAUACUGCGGGCCUUGAGGUCGGCAGAGGUCGCUGGAACUCUAGGUGUAGCGGUGAAAUGCGUAGAUAUCUAGAGGAACGCCAAAGGCGAAGGCAUGCGGCUGGGCCGAUCCUGACGCUGAGGCACGAAAGCAUGGGUAGCGAACGGGAUUAGAAACCCCAGUAGUCC
rnacentral:rRNA from 1 species